AAAAAAAAGGAUAAGGGUAGGGUGGGGUGGGGUGGGAGGGUUCCAUCCUCCCUUGUUUAAAUAUCAUUUGGUACGUAGGAGCCUAAGAGCAAAUGAAAGGGAAGAGAAAUGAAAGGAUUCAUUUAUCCCCCUUUAUAUGAUAAAACAAAACCUUUCAAUGUUAGAAAGAUUCGGAUGGAAAAUAUAACACCACUUUCUCCUUCCUUUAUCUUUCCUCCCUACCCUUUCCAUUUCACUUAGCUACCUAAACAAACCGUAAAUGAUGAUGAUCCUUCGUAUUAUUUUCAUUUCUUAAGUGAUGAUCCUCUAAUAAGAAGAAACCUGUCGUGGUUGAGGUCCUUCUUGAUGAUCCUCUCACAACCAAAAAAAAUAAAAUAAAAAAAAAAAAAAAAAAAAAAAAUUAUGUGUAGUACAAAAAUAGAUUAAUGAAAAAUAAUAGUCAAAGUUCACAUUUUCACAUGCUUAGAUUCCAAUAAUGGUUUAUGUAUUCCGUCAUUUAGCCAGCUUAAAGAAAUAAUAUUAUGAUCGUAUUAUUGGAAAUUUGCAAGCCAUGACGCCUAUGAUUGAAUUGUCAAACAUAGUAGUAUGAAACAUUAUUUAAGUCAACAAUUGUUGUUUUGAUGUUAAAUUUGGGCCUUAUGACCAGUUAGGGGUGGGAAUAGUUUGACGAAAGUGAAAUUGAAUAGGUGUAAAAAGUCGUGUUAUAUUAAUUCCAAGGUUAUGUUUAUCAUACUCACUCCCUUUGACUUAACACAUUUAUCAGUAUAUAUGUUAGUCAUUAAUAUCUUAUAGUUUAUUAAAUUUAAAUAAAGUCGUGAUUGUCUUUAGUUUAAAUUUUAAUAUCAACUAGGGCGGCUAUUACGCGAGAUUUACGUACCAUAGUUUGCCAUAUCUGAGAAUCUCUUUUGGCUUGACCAAUGUCAUAAAAAGGUAAGGAAAGAAGGAAAAAAGAAAAGAAAAAGGAAAAGAAAGAGGAAAGAGAUUAAAAUUUCAUACUUUACCUUUAGUGUGGAAAUUAUUUGAAGAUUCAAGAAUAUUUUUAAAAUGUAGAGUAGAUUAGGGAAGAUUUGGACUUAAGAAUAGGAUGGACAUAAGAUAUAAAUUAGGAAAAAAAAAAUUAUACUUUACCACUCAUCAAAACACCUUAUUUUGAUUUAACCAUCCGUUUUUUUGUUUAUUUUAUGAAGGAAAUUUUGAAUUUUAACACCACAAAAAAGGACACUAUAAAAAAAACUUUUAUUUUAACACCAUAUGAAAAAUUAAAAUUUGAAAUUACCACCUAAAGCCAAGUUCCAUUAACAAAACAGUUACUAAGGCCCACUCAAACAGAUAAUUUUUUGAUUUCCUUUUAAAUGGUCACGAUAAUCCCCAUCUUCCGCCCCUUCACAAUUAAUUUGAUACUUUAGAAUGUUGAAUUUUAGCGAAUCGAAUUCAUAAAGGGAAUUGCACGAUUACAGCAAAGAGCAAGAGAUUGAAGCUGCUAUAAGGUUAUGUCAUAUAUUAGCUCUUCUCCUUCAAAGGACAAAAAAUGCCAAUGUGGUGUUUCAUUGUCAAAGCUGACUAGCUGGACUAGGGAGAACCCAAGGCGGAAGUUUAGAUCUUGCAAGUUUUUUGAUCCAAUAACUAAGGGGCCGCAAGAUGUUUGAAUGGGUUGAUCAACAGAUAUUAUCAACAAUUUGUUGUUGGAUAAGAAGCUGCUCAAGGGUGAAGGUAAUGAAUCGAGAAGGGAAGUUGAUGAAAUCAUUUCCCAAAGGAAGUGUUUGCUUAAUGAAGUUGACAAUCUAAGAUGAGGUGUGUGCAAGGCCUUAAAUGCUGACAAGAAGAAAAUGAAUAGAGAAUUCAAGCAAGGAAAGAUGUCCUCCCUGAAUUGUGUUGUUUGGGUUACCAUAAACAUUUGUGUUGCUAUAGCAAUGGGUGGACUUUGUGUUAUACUUAGGGGUGUUUAGUGAACUGAUGAAUCUGCUAAGUUGUCCUAAGUUGUAAUGAAUUUAAGGAUUGGUUAUGUUUGUACUAUUUUUUUUUUUUUUUUUUUUUUUUUUUUUUUUUUUUUUUU